CACGUAGUUAGCCGGUGCUUAUUCUUCAGGUACCGUCAUUCCCGGACUGUGUUAGAGCCGGUGUUUCUUCCCUGACAAAAGAGCUUUACAACCCGAAGGCCCUCUUCACUCACGCGGCAUUGCUGGAUCAGUGGUUUCCCCCAUUGUCCAAAAUUCCCCACUGCUGCCUCCCGUAGGCCCCCA
rnacentral:rRNA from 1 species